ACGAACGCUGGCGGCGUGCCUAACACAUGCAGUCAAGGCCGGGUAGCAAUACCGACUGGCGCACGGGUGCGGAACACGUAUGGUAAUCUGCCCUUUAUGGGGAGAACAACCAGCCGAAAGGUUGGCUAAUCUCCGUAACCAUCGCGAAGGGGCCUCUCUUUGCGAUCAAGCUUUCUGAAGGAUGAGCCUGCGUCUGAUUAGCUAGUUGGUAGUUGUAACGGACUACCAAGGCUACGAUCAGUAGCUGGUCUGAGAGGAUGAUCAGCCACACUUGGGACUGAGACACGGCCCAGACUCCUACGGGAGGCAGCAGUGAGGAAAUAUUGCUCAAUGGACGAAAAGGUCUGAAGCAGCAACGCCGCGUGAGGGAAUGAAGGUGCUUUGGCAUGUAAACCCUCUGUAGUAGGGGACAAACGUCCGGUUAUCAACCGGAGUGAUGGUACCCCUAAAAGUAAGGAUCGGCUAACUACGUGCCAGCAGCCGCGAGUAAUAGUAGGAUCCAAGCGUUGUCCGGUAUUUACUGGGUGUAAAGGGUGCGCAGGCGACUCUGGUAAGUCUGUGGUGAAAUCUCGCCGCUUAACGCGAAACUGCCUUAGAUACUAUCAGUCUUGAAUAAGCGAGAGAUCCGUGUGAAUUCCGAGUGUAGCAGUGGAAAUUGUGUAGAUAUUCGGAAGAACACCAGCGGCGAAGGCAGCGGGGUUGGCGCUUGAUUAUUGACGCUCAGGCACGAAAGCAUUGGGGAAUCAAACAGGAUUCGAUACCCUGGUAGUCCAUGCCCUAAACGAUGAUCACUUGAUGUCGGCCGCAAGUGUCGGUGUCGGAGCUAAAGCGUUAAGUGAUCCACCUGGGGAGUACCGCUCGGCAAGGGUGAAACUCAAGGGAAUGACGGGGGGCACCCGCACAAGCAGUGGAGCAUGUGGUUCAAUUCGAUGCAACGCGAAGAACCUUACCUAGGCUUGAAGGCCGUCUAAACUGGUGAAAGCAAGCUACCCGCAAGGGGGGGCGGGUACAGGUGCUGCAUGGCUUCUCGUCAGCUCGUGCCGUGAGGUGUUUGGUUAAGUCCAGCAACGAGCGCAACCCCUGGAUUCAGUUGCCAGCAACGUAAUGUGUGGGAACUCUGGAUCAACUGCCUACGCAAGUAGUGAGGAAGGUGGGGACGACGUCAAGUCAUCAUGGCCCUUACGCCUAGGGCAACACCGUGCUACAAUGGCAACUACAACGCGCUGCAAUACCGCGAGGUGGAGCGAAUCGCUAAAAAAGUUGUCUCAGUUCAGAUCGGAGUCUGCAACUCGACUCCGUGAAGUUGGAAUUGCUAGUAAUCGGGGGUCAGCACACACCCGGUGAAUACGUAUCCCGGGCCUUGUACACACCGCCCGUUCACGCCAUGAAGCCGGGAGUACCCGAAGCCGGCCUUAUAAGCGUCUAAGGUAAGACCGGUGAUUGGGCGA
rnacentral:rRNA from 1 species